UUCUUAUCCAGAGAGGUGGAGGGACUGGCCCUUUGAAACCUCGGCAACCAUUGAGCGUAACGUCGCUUAAUACAGGUGCCAAUUCCACUAGGUGAUCUAAAACCUAGAGAGAUAAGAG
rnacentral:ncRNA from 2 species